ensembl:lncRNA
GGAGGGGUUCCAUGGAGGGGUGAAGGACCUUUAAUACGCACUGAGAGUCGGCUCAGCAGCUCAGGUACGGUGGAAGAAAGGGAUGAUUUUUAGAAAUGUUUUAUUUCCUGCCUUCAGUCCAACCGCACAUUAAUGUGAGUGUGUUUUCUGCAGAGCUCCAAACCGAUGUAAAAACUUGAUGUUAUUUUUAUUUCAUGUUGCUUUUAAGAACCUUGUUGAUAUGUGUGUUAUGUUUGUUAUAUUAAUACGCACAAAAAACAGCCACUCUUCCAGCCAAAUAAAGGAGUGGUGUCUUCCAUAGUAAUCAAACUGUACAAACCAAAGAAGAAGUGCCUGAGUAUGAAUAAAUAGUUAGAUAACUGAUGUAACUGUUCGUGUGUGGAGAGUAACACUAAUAUAAAAGAACACAACAGGCUCCCUCGUGUGGAUCAGUGGUGUAGUGCAGAUGUAUUGGGUGAAGCAGCAGGUGUGCAUGCACCUUCACAGAAGGAACACAUGUGGCUGCAGUGUUCUUCAGUUCAUUUAUUUUUAGCGUCUCCUACUGGCCGGGUAGAGGAGGAGGAGAGGCAGUACAUAGGAAGACAGAUGUUGUUAUAAAGCGAGCUGAAGCACACAGAUAACAUGCGGGAAGCAGGGAAAAGAACGGCUUCAAAAUGAAAUAAAACUCACCGUUUACCAUCGGCUGUGCCGCCUACGUCUUGCCAGGAUUCAGAAAGCAGAUGUGAGCAGACAGACCUGGACUGAGGCUGACAGCUGUUUGCAGUCAAAGUUCCAGGGCCUUGGCAGUUUGUCAUUUAAGAGCUUCCACCAGAGGACGCUGUCCGCCUCCUCGUCACCUCCAACAGCCGGGUAACCUGCUAUGCUGCUGCCUUCGUCCUGAUUGGAGCUGUGCGCCUCCACAGGUGGGAAAUACUGAAUGUGUAAUAAUACACACACUGUGGCUGUGCGGCGAUAGAAAAGUAUUUCCUGCUUCUCUUAUGGCCUCUGCACACAACCAAGAGCUGAUGUGUGAAAUGCAGAAUACUCCCACUCUGCAUCAUCUUCAUCAUCAUUAUCAUCAUCAUCAGGUUCCCUGCGGAUUGUCUAAUGACAAACUGAAUGUUGUUGUUAUUUGAUCCAAUGCCAAAAAACAAAACAAAAGCAUGAUGGUGCUGUUAUUAAGUUAUUUUACAACCUUCACUGUACGUUGUUUUUUUUAAGCUCCAUUUAAAUCCAUAUUAUGGCAAGAACUCUCAACUCAGUAAAGACACACAGCAGUCCAUCAUUACUUCAAGACAUGAAGGUCAGGCAGCCCGGAAACUUUUAAGGACUUUAAAAAA